GUCUACGGCCAUGCUACCCUGAACAAGCCCGAUCUCAUCUGAUCUCGGAAGCUAAGCAUGGUCAGGCCUGGUUAGUACUUGGAUAGGAGACCACCUAGGAAGACCAGGUGCUGUAGGCA
rnacentral:rRNA from 1 species